UUGGGGUGGCCCCACGCCUUCCUGUCGGGCAUGGGGCAUGGGGCAUGAGUCGGGCAGCCCGACUCAUGGCCAGUCUGCCCGACCCUUGGCCAAUCCCCGCGAGUGGGUAAGCGCCACACUCAUCAAGGACAUCAUCAUCAUCCAGCACCGCGUCGCAGCCCCGAUUCUGAGAAGACGACGGCUGCCCUGAAACCUGGCCGGAGUGCGUGCCGCCCUGAGCAUCUGAAAUGCCAGAAUCACACAUGCUGCCACCACUUGUUCAAAAACCAGGCAGAGGCAAAAGAAACGACAUGGCCGUUCCUGGUGCAUCGAGCGACAAGCCUGGCUUGGACAAGAGAAAAGCGUCGCCGAAGAUGCUCGUGCCGCUUAUCCCCAGGAUUCCAAAGACCGCCUCGAUGCUGCUAAAGUUCUUCAUCGAGCUCGAGAGCAAGGUGUCGAUUAUGCGCGAGCCGCUGUCACACUUCUGCCAGGAAGAGGCAGUUCUCCAUGUGCAAGAGUGCCAACUCAAGCUCAACAAGCAGGUCAUCAUGUACGAGGACGUUCGCGAUCUAGUCGAGAAUUUGGUCCAUAAGACGGUAACAAUCCCUACCGAAGCUCCGCCGACCUGCCGCACAAGCUUCUAUAGCGAUGAGCUGUAACACCAACUUCCUGUUUUUUUUUUGUAUCCUAUGCAGUGCGUUCGAAGUUACUAUCAAAGUUUUCCCACAGAAAUGUGCAGCAGGUGCACAGAAUAAAGUCGUGCAAGCUCUCACGUUCCGUAAGUACGCAGACGUGGUCAGUUCUAACAACGAGAUGGUCCUUCCUGGGUGAUGUGCUGUUCGAAAUCGACGGCGUGUUAGCACAUGACCGACACCAAUGUCCCGUCGAAGUCUACAGCAGCUGAUACACAGACCGACUGCAUCAUUAUUGGCCCUGCCCUCGGACAACUGUUUUCUCGUAUCUGUAUGAAACCUGUAUUAUUGUAUACGGCAAAAAGUGCAUAACUUUCAAAUGCUUGUAUUAUGCCAUUUAAAGAGAUCGCUCGCAAGCUUCCCUCCAUAACGCAUUUGUUAUUUUGGCAGUAUUUCGCCAUUGCAUUUUUGUGUGAUAUUAUGGUAUGUUGGAAUACUUUCUCUAAUUACGCUUCAUUGGAGGGGAACGUCUAUUCAAUGCACCAUAAUAAGAAGGAACAUUGCUGAUGUCGCGGAUUUAGCAUGUACUUAGACACUGUGCUGCGAUCCUGCAGGCUGUAAUCCAGUUGCUUCUGGCUUGCAUUAUUAAAGAAAAUCUAAGUAUGUGUGUGAA